AUGUGUUUUCCUUGCAGUGUUGACAGGAAUCAGCUGCUGAGGUUCAUCCACUGCUGUGCUGCCUGUGACGUUCAGCAGGAGGCAGCGUCAGGCCUGCUGAGGACUCUGCAGCACAGCUUGGAUCUGUCCUGCUCCUCCUGUGUGGAGCUACCAGAGGAGGAUCAGCCUGAGCCUCUGAGUCUGACCGCUGAUGACUGCAGGGCCGUCUCCACCAUCCUGACACACAGCAGCCGAGACACACAGCUCGACCUGCGAGACUGUGAGGUGGAGGACAGCGUGCUGGACCUGCUGUUUCCUGUCCUCCACAGGGUCCGCCUCAGAGUCAGUAAAACUGUCCUCCUCCAGCUGCUGUCUCUGGUUCCUGAGAACAGUGAGAGGGACACAGUGAGGCGGGCGGUGUCCCUGUGUGGAGCCCUGGGUGGAGAGCUGGAUCUCAGUCACAGCACGCUGGAUCAGAGGGCCUGUGGGGCUUUGGUCCAGAUGCUGGACUCGUGUGAAGGGCUGACAGAGCUGGACCUCAGUCACUGUCAGCUCACUGACCAGCUGCUGCUCCCUCUCAUCACACAUCUGCACAAAGUCCAAGUGCUGGAUCUGAGUCACAAUCAGAUCACUGAUGCUUCGACUGAUGCGUUGCUCCAGCUGCUCUCCAUCAACCCCUCCAUCGACUGUGUGCGGUGAGCCAACAUGAAUCAGUCCCCAUCAGUGAAGGAGUCUCUCCUCAGACUCUCAGAGGAAUCAUUCACAGUCUGAGCUCACAUGGAUUCAUGUUGUUCUGAGUGAAUGAGUGACGUCUGCUCUCUCUGCUUUGGUCUCUUUCUAGACUUUACAGCAACAACAUCGUCGACAGAGCAGCUUUCAAGGAACACAAGCAGUUUGAGAUCUGGUGAAGCACUCGUCAUCAUCAUCGUCAUGAACAUCAUCGUCAUCAUCAUCAUCAUCAGGGAUUCACUGGUUUCCUCUGUUCUUGUCAUCAUUGCAUGAAAAUAUUGGGUGGAGUGGGAGCACUGAUACUGUGAGUUUUGAUGACCAGCUUAAUUUUUUUUUAUUUUUUCUACAAUGACUUGAAGACAGUUUAUAUGGAGACAAAGUGCAGCCAACAGUGUUUGUUUCAAUUUCCCACCGUUUCUUUUCUUUCUGAGCUACUGCAGAUGUUUCUUUGAUGGAGGUCAGAUGUCUAAUUGGUCAUGUGAUGAUGUCACAGUCCUGUGUCUUAGACCCACAAUUUUGAGUUUUGCGUUCUCGGUCUAAUCUUUUGGAUUUCAAGUCUUUAUUUCCCCAUGCAGUUACUUCCUGUUUUAUUUUGAUAGUCAUUUGUCUCUGUUCCUUGUAUUUAUGUUUGCUUGUCCUGAUUGGUUUCAGCUGUGUCUCAUUCCCUUAAUCUGCCCACUUUUAUAUUUACCUGUUAAACCUGAGAGUCCUGCAUACUGGCCCUGCUGAAACUUGACAGAUGAUCAUCUUGAUGUUUACACCUCUGAUAUUUCUGUAAUAAUUGUAAUUCUGUUAUAAUAUUAUUGAGACAAAACACGGAAGCCAUCACCGUUUUAUCAGUGCAGGGAGUCGGUCAUAUUUAUUAUUUGUACUUUUGUGAUAACGGUAUUUAUUCUGGUCUACAUGUUUCAGACAGGACAAAGUAGAGAGACUCUAGAAUGAUGUCUCAGAGUAACGAUGCAAUAAGUGAGCAAUCAGGAUAAAACCGUGUUUGGUACUUUGACAUAACUGGAAGAAAUGAUCAUAAACAUGUAAAUCAUUUUUAGUUUGUAUUUCAUGUUAAGAGAUACACGUGAUAAUGAUCAUUUCUGUUCUCUUAAUGUGACACUGUUAUGAAAUUUUCCUCAUUAAUGGACCUCAUGUAUAAUGAGUGGUGGCUGUAGCUCAGGGGGUAGAGCAGGUCAUCUACUAAUAUAAAGGUUGCUGGUUUGAUCCCUGGCUGCUCCGCCCUGCAUGCCAGAUAUCCUCAGGCAAGAUACUAACCCCAAGUUAAGCACAGAGAAAGUGCCUGAAUGAAUGUGUGGAUGAGGCAUGUUGUGUAAAGUGCUCUGAGUGCUGCAGGAGUAUACAAAAACACUAUGCAAGAAUUUAUCCUUUAAUACAUUUCAGGUUUUUAAAUGUAACUUUUUUUUACCAUAUUAAUGUCGAGCUUCAUGUAGACUCGGGGAAUAAAUAAUAAAAGUUCGGAUGUCUGUGAUCGACGUGAUUCUGUUUCAGUGAUUGUAGUUAUAGAAAGUCAGUCAUUAUACAGCAUCAGUAAUUCAGGAAAUUUGUACAGAAACAAAAUGCCAGUUUGAGAGGGAUGGGGAGAUUGUAUCAUUCAGGAAAUACUUAACGAGUAUGUCAGUCUCAUUUAGAUAAAAGAUCCAGCAGACUCGGAUGUGUCAGUACAGCUGGCACAGUCACACAGAGGAACCAGGAUCUCCUAAACAACCACAAAGUCACAUCACAUCAUUUUCUCUUUGACAGUGUAACAUCAGAGCAUUAAGCUUUUGGAUUGUUUGGCCACACAUACCAAAGGGCACCAACAGAAAAGACCCUCAUUUACCUUUAAGCCCCCUGUACAGUUAUAAUUUUUCACUUUUACUGUUACUUUAGUCUUCUUGCUAUACUUUAAAAUCACUUUUCAGUUCUAUAUUUUUUACAACCUUUGUUUACAAUCAUUUAUUUGCAUUACAGUGAUGUCAUGUAACCAACACAGCAUAUUGCAUGUCAGGCUCAAAAGGUCAAACUUUCUGGAAAAUUAUUCAAAGUACUGAAGUGAAACAAACCUGAUUUCAUGGCAGAAUCAUAACUAAUGCUCUUUGUAAGCUGAUUUCAGCCCCUAAACAGUCGCCGGAGGAAAGAAUCUGCAGAAUAAUGUGGACACAUGUUAGAAGUUUCCUGUCGAGUGUACAAACACUAACACCUCACCCACACAGUAAAGUGUGUAGCUAGAAAGAGUGAUAUUAGUCUAUAUCCCUGUCUCAGACUUAAAACUGAUGUUUUGCUGGCCUUUACUGCCACGAUCUACUUAAGCAAACACAGAAUCUCACAUUUUCUCCCUUUCACUCAAACACACAUUUUAAGUGCAAAAAUAAUUUAUAGCAAUAAUCAGUAAUAUGAAUAGCAUCAUUGCAGCCUUUGGUGAGCACCAUGGACAGCAACCGCAGUCAGUUUAUACUAUAACCUCACAUUAUCUUCUUCAACCAGGCUAUCACAAGCCAGAAACAGAUCCAGCCGUGCUAGGAUAACACAAAGACAAUUGUAUUGUCAUUAAAAUGGUAAAUGGUAAAUGGCCUGUAUUUGUAUAGCGCUUUACUUAGUCCCUAAGGACCCCAAAGCGCUUUACACAUCCAGUCAUCCACCCAUUCACACACACAUUCACACACUGGUGAUGGCAAGCUACAUUGUAAGUCCAUUAACCAAAGGUCCUCAAAGCCUCACUGGAUGUACCAACAACCAAACUCUUUUACAGAGAUCCUCAUUCAGCAAUCGUUUCUAAUGGACGUACUUCUAGAUGUAUCACACACACACACACACACACAUUACAGUAUGAGGAUAUAUUUUCCAGAUUUAGGUGGUAACAAUGUUUCAGUCCUUUACAAAAUCACAAACCAUUCACCCAUCAGAACUUUGUCCUUGUGCUACAACACUGCUCACAUCCAGAGUCCUGGUGUUGUACUGAUCCUGCC
rnacentral:lncRNA from 1 species